rnacentral:lncRNA from 1 species
UCCGGAUCGUCCAUUAAUUCAAAUUUUUUCUUAGCUAGUCUUUAUAAACUUGAUAUAUAUACACACAUAUUUUUUUCGAUAAUUAAAGCUAGCUAAUUAUAGAUAAAUGCAUGCAUAAGAAUAUGAAUAUAUGAUAUAUCCAAUUAUAUAAUAUCUUGAAAUAAAUCAAUCUACGUGGAAAACCAAUCAACAAAAAGUAUCUUUCAUUUCCUCUCAUCGUUACCAAAACCCUUUAAAAGACGCAACUCCAAACACUUCCCUCUCUAUAUAAACACACACUCCCAAACACUCCAUACACCCCACCUUACUCUCUCUCAUUCAUUCUCAUUAUUAUUCAAUUUAUCACACAAACCAAUUAUGGGCUCUUACAAAAAGUUAAUAACUUUCAUGUUAUUAAUUUUUAUAGUGAUUACAUUAAGUGAAGGAAGAGUACCCUUUGCA